CGGCGGGUCCCGGCGGGUCCCGGCGGCUCAGGGGCUCGGUGCUUUUCCCCGCUCAGCUGGUGUGAGAUCGUGGGGAAAAGUCGAGCUCGGCGUGUGUGCCCCUGCCGCGAUCCCCGUUCCAACGCCGCGUGCACUGUUUGCUCUGUGUGACACAUCUCCCGAGCUUGUUGCCGUGCCCAGAUGCAGAGGUGUCUGCAAUACUUUAAAGCAUAGAGGUCACCCCUUGACUGCAGCACACUGACGUUGUCUUUGAGGAUUCUGUGUUCUCAUGGACCAGACAGCUGGGAAGCACACUGAAGUAAGCUGACUAACUCCUUCUGCCACCUGGGAUCUUGGUGCAGAAGACAGGUUAUAAAACAUUGAGUUACAAACCUUGCUGUGGAGGAGUGGAAAAUGGAAGCUAAUGGCAUUUACAUGCAGUCUCACAGCAAGAGGGUUGAGCCUGAUUGCUCUUCAGCCUUCACAUGCC